rnacentral:rRNA from 1 species
GACGAACGCUGGCGGCGUGCUUAGCACAUGCAAGUCGAACGGAAAGGCCCUGCUUUUGUGGGGUGCUCGAGUGGCGAACGGGUGAGUAACACGUGAGUAACCUGCCCUUGACUUUGGGAUAACUUCAGGAAACUGGGGCUAAUACCGGAUAGGAGCUCCUGCUGCAUGGUGGGGGUUGGAAAGUUUCGGCGGUUGGGGAUGGACUCGCGGCUUAUCAGCUUGUUGGUGGGGUAGUGGCUUACCAAGGCUUUGACGGGUAGCCGGCCUGAGAGGGUGACCGGCCACAUUGGGACUGAGAUACGGCCCAGACUCCUACGGGAGGCAGCAGUGGGGAAUAUUGCACAAUGGGCGGAAGCCUGAUGCAGCAACGCCGCAUGCGGGAUGACGGCCUUCGGGUUGUAAACCGCUUUCGCCUGUGACGAAGCGUGAGUGACGGUAAUGGGUAAAGAAGCACCGGCUAACUACGUG